GGCUCCAUGGUACAGUGGUUGCGCGUUGGGCUCGCAAUCCGGAGGUCCCGGGUUCAAAUCCCGGUGGGGACA